UUUCACUGACAGGGCAAGAGCCUAGUGAA
rnacentral:piRNA from 1 species